GCGAGAAUGGCGGAAUUGGCAGACGCGCUAGGUUCAGGGUCUAGUCCGGGUUCCCGGGUGGGGGUUCAAGUCCCCCUUCUCGCA
rnacentral:tRNA from 2 species